UACGGGGGGGGCAAGCGUUGUUCGGAAUUAUUGGGCGUAAAGCGCGUGUAGGCGGCUUUGCAAGUCGGGUGUGAAAGCCCUCAGCUUAACUGAGGAAGUGCGCCCGAAACUGCAUGGCUUGAGUACCGGAGAGGAUGGUGGAAUUCCCCAAGUAGAGGUGAAAUUCGUAGAUAUGGGGAGGAACACCGGUGGCGAAGGCGACCAUCUGGACGGAUACUGACGCUGAGACGCGAAAGCGUGGGUAGCAAACAGG
rnacentral:rRNA from 1 species